rnacentral:rRNA from 1 species
UGCAAGUCGAACGAGUUUUGAUCUGUAGUAAUACAGGUCAAGUUAAGUGGCGCACGGGUGCGUAACACGUGAGUAAUCUGCCGGGAAGAGGGGGAUAGCUCGCCGAAAGGCGAAUUAAUACCGCAUAUGGCCAGGGAGGACAUCCUUCCGACGCCAAAGUCGCAAGACGCUUCCUGAUGAGCUCGCGGCCUAUCAGCUUGUUGGUGAGGUAACGGCUCACCAAGGCUUUGACGGGUAGCUGGUCUGAGAGGACGACCAGCCACACUGGAACUGAGACACGGUCCAGACACCUACGGGUGGCAGCAGUCGAGAAUUUUUCACAAUGGGGGAAACCCUGAUGGAGCGACGCCGCGUGGAGGAUGAAGGCCUUUUGGUCGUAAACUCCUGUCAUGCGAGAACAAGAAAGUGAUAGUAUCGCAAGAGGAAGAGACGGCUAACUCUGUGCCAGCAGCCGCGGUAAUACAGAGGUCUCAAGCGUUGUUCGGAUUCAUUGGGCGUAAAGGGUGCGUAGGUGGCAUGGUAAGUUGAAGGUGAAAUCUCGGGGCUUAACUCCGAAACUGCCUUCAAUACUGCUGUGCUCGAGGACUGUAGAGGAGAAUGGAAUUCACGGUGUAGCAGUGAAAUGCGUAGAUAUCGUGAGGAAGACCAGUGGCGAAGGCGAUUCUCUGGGCAGUUCCUGACACUGAGGCACGAAGGCCAGGGGAGCAAACGGGAUUAGAUACCCCGGUAGUCCUGGCAGUAACGGUGCACGUUUGGUGUGGAGGAUUC